AUGCUCAGGUCUCUCCGCAUUCGCAAUAACUUUUCGCCUUUUACUAAAGGUUACCGUGCGGAGGGACAUCAUAAUGAGCUUCGUGCUCAAUUUUUGGGAGGUCUUGCCCGUUUGGGCGAGGC
rnacentral:snRNA from 1 species